AAUAGAUACCCAGGUAGUCCACGCCGUAAACGAUGAGUGCUAAGUGUUAGGGGGUUUCCGCCCCUUAGUGCUGCAGCUAACGCAUUAAGCACUCCGCCUGGGGAGUACGGCCGCAAGGCUGAAACUCAAAGGAAUUGACGGGGGCCCGCACAAGCGGUGGAGCAUGUGGUUUAAUUCGAAGCAACGCGAAGAACCUUACCAGGUCUUGACAUCCUCUGACAACUCUAGAGAUAGAGCGUUCCCCUUCGGGGGACAGAGUGACAGGUGGUGCAUGGUUGUCGUCAGCUCGUGUCGUGAGAUGUUGGGUUAAGUCCCGCAACGAGCGCAACCCUUGAUCUUAGUUGCCAGCAUUCAGUUGGGCACUCUAAGGUGACUGCCGGUGACAAACCGGAGGAAGGUGGGGAUGACGUCAAAUCAUCAUGCCCCUUAUGACCUGGGCUACACACGUGCUACAAUGGACGGUACAAAGAGUCGCAAGACCGCGAGGUGGAGCUAAUCUCAUAAAAACCGUUCUCAGUUCGGAUUGCA
rnacentral:rRNA from 1 species